rnacentral:rRNA from 1 species
UACGGAGGGGGCCAGCGUUGUUCGGAAUCAUUGGGCGUAAAGGGCGCGUAGGCGGCCGAGCAAGUCGGACGUGAAAUCCCCCGGCUCAACUGGGGAACUGCAUCCGAAACUGCCUGGCUUGAGUCCUGGAGAGGGUAGUGGAAUUCCCAGUGUAGCGGUGAAAUGCGUAGAUACUGGGAGGAACACCGGUGGCGAAGGCGGCUACCUGGACAGGUACUGACGCUGAGGCGCGAAAGCUAGGGGAGCAAACAGG